rnacentral:misc_RNA from 1 species
GGAAAGGGGGACCUUCCCCCUCUGCCAGGGGGUCCAGAAUACCAAAACCCUCCACAACUCCUAAAAAGUGAUGGAUAAAUGUCAUGUGAUUUACUUAAGCAUUCCUCUCCUACAUGCGAUACUGAUUACGAGACAAUCGACGAUACUCAUUGAUAAUCAAACAGCAGACUAACGCCUGCUUUCUGUUCGAUGUUACACUUAAAGUAAUGCUAAUUUGGUGCUGUGCUUUAACUCAAUGUCAAUUUCCAUGAAAAGCUUUAAUAUAUGACCUCAGUGAUGUACGUUUGUGGGAAAAUACUGUUUUUACGUAAGUAAAGUAUUUGAUGUACGUUAAUAUUUUGUAUUGACUGUGUGUAUAACAGCACUGACAUACUGGAUCUGUUCCUCAUGUGCAAAUUGGUCGACAGUUGAUGAUUUUUUUUAUGUACAUACAGCAUGUGUGCUAAGCCCUUGUUUUAAUGCUGGGUGCAUUUAUAUUCAUGGUUGUUAAAGCAAGUUUGUUGUUAGUUCCAUUUAGGCGUGUUUAUUUUUAACUUCCUGUACACCCUAGAGCUCUGUUGAUUUCAGUUCUGUUUUGAUCUACUUACAAAGUUUAUUGUUCUGUAUCGUGAUGUGUUGCUGUAUAGAGUUUUUUGAUUUUCAAUGAAUGACGAUUUUGAUUUUAUAUGGAUAUUGUUUGAAUUUGAAUGGAUAACUCCUUUACAUUUCUGAGGACAGCAACACAUAUCAUUUUGUACUUUGUUCUUUAUAUGUCUUUUAAGAUUCAUCUAAAUUAAGUAGGUGUACGAUAUAUAAGUAUUUGUUGAUAUUGAUUAUUUAUAUUAACUUUUUUUGCUACGGAGUUCCCAUGCAAUAUGAAGAAAACAUAAUGAGCACUUUAGAUUUUUGAUGAGUACAUCUAUUUUUUUAUGUUUUGCUUAAAAGAAGAUAUUCUCUUGAAUGAUAUUUUGGGGGAUUUAAUUAUGAACUCCAAACUGUGAAGUCAGUUUUAUUUGUAUGUGACUUAUUGUAAUUGUCAUGAAAAUCGGAAAAAGAGUAGCUGGUAGUUAAUUUUGGGGUUUCAGUGUUCCUUGUAGAACUGCAUGUCCAUUAAGCAGUGGUCCUGGAUUAUUCAUUGUGGUUAUCUGAGAGUUAUCAUGGGUUUAUUUUCCCUCAUUGUCAUUAUCACUGCUACAUGUUUUAUCACAGUUAAAGAAGCCUAUGUAAAUUGUGAAUCAUCUAUUUAUUUAAUAUUAGCAAAAUGUGAUAUCACUAUAUUUUUUUUUAUUGUGUAUAAACAUUCACAGCCUGCACCAUUUUUUUUUUUUGUGAAUGACAUCCUGUGUCUUUGGCAUCAUUGUCAGCUAAGCAGGCGAUGAUGUCAUCAUUGCAUCAUCAAGGGGAAUAAUCUUUACAGAACUGAACAAAGAAAACAAUGUACUGUUCAAUUAUUGAUUUAUUUUAAUUCACUUAAUACAAGGGUUGGGGAAAUAUAUGCCUGUACUCCAUGUAUACUGAAGUAGCCUGUGAUCUGUAAUUUAAGUAAGUGAUCAGUUUAUUAGCCUGCACUUUUCAAUUGCAAGAAUGAGUUCUACAAUGCUAUGUACCUGUGUUUACUUGUACAGGGUGUUGCUUAAAUGCAAGUAUUUUUAAUAAAUAUAUAUAGAAUCUCA